rnacentral:tRNA from 1 species
AGGGAUAUAGUUAAUUAUAACAUUUAGAUUGCACCUAAAAAGUAUUGAAAUCAAUUAUCCUUU